CGCUCCACGCUCCACGCUCCACGCUCCACGCUCGACGCCCGAUGCCCGACGCCGCCUGGAGCGCAGGGGAGCUAGGCGCAGGGUCUCCGCGCGGCCUCGUCUCCUCGCCUGUCGGCGCCCUGGGCGGGCGCGGCUUCCGAUCUUGACCGAACAGGAAGGCGCUUCGGUCCAGCUCCCCAGAGCAGCCCAAGCAGGCCGUGGGCCUCCUUUUUCUCUGACUGACUCUUGAUGCCGAGUCCUUUUGGCCUCACGUCUCAGUUUAAAGGUCACCACUUCUUUGGCGCUUCUGCUCCCCCCGCAACCACCACCAAAAGCAAAUGAACAGAAAAUCCACCUUUGGCUUCUUUUGGAUUCUCUAGCACCGAACUCUUACCCCAUGCCUCAGGGCCCAGAUUAGGAGACAACAGACGUUUGAGUGAAGGAGAAUAUUUGGGGGGUGGGGGGUGGGGGGUGAGUGCAGUGAGGAAGACGAUGGUGGGGGAGUGACUGGUCCUCAGCCGCCUAAGCUGGUGAUGACAGUGCCACACUAGCAGCAGGUAGCCCACUUCCACCCCCCCCACCCCCACCCCGUGUUCUUCCUUGUUGGAUCUGCCACUUCAGUGGCGAAGCGUCUACAUUACUCUGUCACCUUUGAGCCUGCAACCACCUCAAGAAAACAGUGGGAUCAACUGCCCUGCUUCUGAUGACCCUGCUCUCAUACGCAGAGGUUGACGUAUGUCUAUAAAUAGUACAUUAAAGGCACUUACCAUCAUUUCCAGUCACUUACGGUCACUUACAGUCACUCGUUUUACAAGAGGGCAGCCUGCAGAACUCUUAGACCUGGGCUUUCCAACGACUUCACUUCACGCACGACGGAGCGAAGCCGCAGAAUAUUUGUGAAGAUAUUUGCUCCUAAUGCUGAGCAGAUGCACAUCAUUAAUCACUUGAAAGAGAGCCCAACAGAAGAGAAGAGAAAUAUGCUGGAGGAAAGUGCCAGGAGGGCCCAUGGGGAUGCACAAGACUUGGCAGACCUGAACUUCAGUGAGUUUGAUGCUGUCAGGAUACCUGGUUGACUGGACUUGGCUGGGUUUGCUUAAGAUCUCUCAUGCAACGAACAUAUGGACACCAAGUGGGGAAAGCUGGGGGAGUGGGGCUG